GUGCAAGGAGAGACCCAAGGCGGUCAUGUGGAUCUCCUGAAGCGAUGAUAACCGUGGAAGAAGAUACAAGACAUGCGCCAAGUCGCGGACUGGAGGCUGUGAAAUGUACGUGUGGCAUGACGAUCGUAUUGAGGAUCCGUUCCUCAAACAACUCCUCAUUGAUCUCCGCGACAGGGUGCGUCACUUAGAGAGGAUCAACUCAGAGUUACGAGAUGCAGCAAGUGUGGUGGCACAACACCGCUCUACCCAGCUAGAACUACCUCCUGCUCCUAUAGACAAUUUAGCUAUGAAUCAAGGACCUGGCUAUGUCAAGGGUUUGCACUGUUCAUGCUGCUGGCAGCAUUUUGUUGCAAGUGCUUCUUCGGUUAGGAGCAGUGAACUUUUAACUGCAUCCACAAAAAAGCUUGUGUUCUAGAUGUGAUAGUUGUAACCCUAGCAGUCCAUCAGCUGUUGUUGAGUACUUGCCUUUGUUUUUGUCCUAGCAGUUGAACUUGUACCUCUGAAUGUAUGUGGUAAACUAGUGUGAACUAGUUGCAUAUGAAAUUUGGUUUCUAUCAGA